rnacentral:lncRNA from 1 species
AUGACGAUACUUCUAUUGACAGUGGUGAAGAAGCCGAUCUUGAAGAUAAAAAGGAUCGAAGUCAUUCGAUUCCAAAAAUUGAUGAGAAUACUAGUGUUGAUGAUGAAAGAAAUCCCCACAACAUUAUUCGAAUUAAGUUGCCUAAAACAAGAAGCAACAUCGAUGCAGCACCAGAGUCGGGAAAGAAGACAAGGGUUAACGUACAUCAUCAAAGAAAGAUUCAAGAACGACAAAUUUCUGAGAUGGACAUGAAAUUUGUAGAGAGUAAAAGAAAAUUAGAAGAAAGAUAUGAACAACUCGACAAAUCAAGAAGCAAGAUACAAAUUCUUGACACCAAGAAUCUUCCUCGUCAAGAUGUGGAACCAAAGAAGAGACUACAGGUUUUGCACUGCACAGGCCAAAAAACAAAGAGGCAAUCUGAUCUGUGUGCGCUUUUUCCAAAUUCCAAGUUCAGUUGUGAUAACAAGCGUACGAGGCCAGGUACUACUUCUUGGAGACAUUAGAAAAUCGAACUGAUAAGGUCUGUCUGAACAUAUAUUUUGAUGUAAUGUUGUAAAAGAACUACGUGCAGCUUGAUCCCUAAUUUGGGUACGUAGGCAGCC